rnacentral:rRNA from 1 species
GAAGGUCUCUUCGGAGAUACUCAAGUGGCGGACGGGUGAGUAACACGUAGGAAUCUGCCCCAGAGUGGGGGACAACCAAGGGAAACCUUGGCUAAUACCCCAUAUGGCGUGAGCUGAAAGUUUUUUCGCUCUGGGAGGAGCCUGCGCUUGAUUAGCUAGUUGGUGAGGUAAUAGCUCACCAAGGCGACGAUCAAUAGCUGGUCUGAGAAGAUGACCAGCCACAAUGGGACUGAGAUACGGCCCAUACUCCUACGGGAGGCAGCAGUGGGGAAUUUUGCGCAAUGGACGAAAGUCUGACGCAGCAAUACCGUGUGUGGGAUGACGCCUCGUGGGGUGUAAACCACUGUCAGAAUGGAAAAAUUUGAUUGUACAUUCAAAGGAAGCACCGGCUAAUUCCGUGCCAGCAGCCGCGGUAAUACGGAAGGUGCAAGCGUUGUCCGGAUUUAUUGGGCGUAAGGAGUUUGUAGGCGGUUUUGUAAGUCUGAAGUGAAAUAAUGGAGCUCAACUCCAUACACGCUUUUGAACUACAGAACUAGAGAAUGUUAGGGGUGAGUGGAAUUUCCAGUGUAGCGGUGAAAUGCGUAGAUAUUGGAAAGAACGCCGG